UACCUAUUACUCAAUUUAUUUUUUCCCUUCAGGAGUAUCUCAAUGCCGUACUAGAAGCAAUUGACAAGGAUAAAGUGCGAGUACAUGGGUACACCUACUGGAGUCUUCUAGACAACUUUGAAUGGACACAAGGUUAUAGUCAACGCUUUGGUUUGUACUACGUCAACUUCACGGACCCCGAGAGAAAGAGAGUUGCUAAGAGCUCUGUAGAGUAUUAUCAAAAGGUAGCCUUGACAAGGAUGAUAUUUGAUCCUACAGUGGUCAAUACAACUACAUCACAACAAACAACGGUAACUACUCCAUCUACCUCAAAUAAAACAACGGCGACUACUCCAUCUACCUCAAAUCAAACAACGGCAACUACUCCAUCUACCUCAAAUCAAACAACGGCAACUACUCCAUCUACCUCAAAUCAAACAACGGCAACUACUCCAUCUACCUCAAAUCAAACAUCGUCAACUACUUUAUCUACCUCACAAAAAACACCAACUACUCCACCUACCCCACAAACAACACCUAGUACCGCUGGUAGCAUAGCUGUCUCGAAUAUUCUUCUGUGUUUUGCAAUGGUGCUGUUUUGGAGGUUUGCACUGAACUGAACUUAUCUUUUUCUACAUAUUCAUAGUUUUCAGAAAAUUGUGUAAUACUGAUUUCAGAUUUUCCCUACUGAAUUUGAUUAAAUAAAGAUGGUUGAUUUAUGUACAAAUAAGUAGAAUGCCGAACAUGAAUGUUUUGAAAAUGACGACAAAUUCUGGAACAAACUAUUGUAAUUUUUAAAUAAAUUGAUUUGAACCUUA